UUUUUAAUAUAUAACAGAACAGUAAAAAUAAUGUUUGAAGGAAACAGUGGGUUUUUUGGGGGGGGUUCUGAUUUCUACUGAAAUGCAAUCACCAUUAAAAAUGGACUUUAUCUUAUUUACUGCAGAAUAUCUAACACAAGUAUUUUCUGGAAAAUGAGAAGUGCUCACUAAGUAUCUGUAGAAUGAAUCAGUGAUUAUUAAAGGAAGAUUGUGAACACAGACACCCCGGAGCACAGUGAUUAAACAGGUUAUCGCCAUGCCUCUUCUUCAUGCCUCCAGAUCCUUCAGCUCUGACGUUGGAUGGCAGCAACUAACAGCAGAGUCACUGAGAGGGAUGAGAUAGCUGAAUGCUUGGUACAUGAAACAAUGAAGAAGACCAUUGUCUUCUUGGUACAUGAAACAAUGAAGAAGACAAGUGUCCCAGUGGACAUUGCUGAUGAAAGAGGGUGGAGAUUGUCUACAGCGUGGAGUCUCCCAUGUGGCCAGUGGAAGUCCUCUGCCCAGUCAGACUUUGUGCGACAGAGGGAAGAAGAAGCAGCUCUAUAA
rnacentral:lncRNA from 1 species